ACGAACGCUGGCGGUGCGCUUAAUGCAUGCAAGUCGAACGAGAACGGCGGCUUCGGUCGCUAAGUAAAGUGGCAGACGGCUGAGUAACACGUAAGUAACCAACCCCGGAGCGGGGAAUAAUCAUGAGAAAUCGUGCCUAAUACCCCGUAAGUCCCAACAGGCGUUGCCGUUGGGGGAAAGGCUUCGGUCGCUCUGGGACGGGCUUGCGGCCUAUCAGGUAGUUGGUGGGGUAAUGGCCUACCAAGCCGGAGACGGGUACCCGGUGUGAGAGCACGAACGGGCAGAGGGGGACUGAGACACGGCCCCCACUCCUACGGGAGGCAGCAGCAGGGAAUCUUGCGCAAUGGGCGAAAGCCUGACGCAGCGACACCGCGUGGAGGAAGAAGGCUUUCGGGUCGUAAACUCCUUUUCCCGGGGAAGAGAACGGACGGUACCCGAGGAAUAAGCAUCGGCUAACUACGUGCCAGCAGCCGCGGUAAUACGUAGGAUGCGAGCGUUGUCCGGAUUUACUGGGCGUAAAGGGCGAGUAGGCGGCCCGCUAAGUCUCAUGUGAAAUCUCCCGGCUCAACUGGGAGGGGUCAUGAGAAACUGACAGGCUUGAGGUCAGCAGAGGAAAGCGGAAUUCCCGGAGUAGCGGUGAUAUGCGUAGAUACCGGGAGGAACACCAGAGGCGAAGGCGGCUUUCUGGGCUGCACCUGACGCUGAGGCGCGAAAGCGUGGGGAGCGAACCGGAUUAGAUACCCGGGUAGUCCACGCCCUAAAUGGUGGAUACUAGACAUGGGGGGUAUCGACCCCCUCUGUGUCGUAGCUAACGCGUUAAGUAUCCCGCCUGGGGAGUACGGCCGCAAGGCUAAAACUCAAAGGAAUUGACGGGGGCCCGCACAAGCAGCGGAGCGUGUUGUUCAAUUCGAUGCCAAGCGAAGAACCUUACCAGGGCUUGACAUGUUUCCGACAGUCCCCGAAAAGGGGAUCUUCCUUCCGGGACGGAUUCGCAGAUGUUGCAUGGUCGUCGUCAGCUCGUGUCGUGAGAUGUUGGGUUAAGUCCCGCAACGAGCGCAACCCUUGUCGUUAGUUACCUUGUCUAGCGAGACUGCAUGUAAAAAACAUGAGGAAGGUGGGGAUGACGUCAGAUCAGCACGGCUCUUACGUCCUGGGCUACAAACACGCUACAAUGGCCUGAACAGAGGGUCGCCAAGGCGCAAGCCGGAGCCAAUCCCACAAAUCAGGCCUCAGUUGGAAUUGCAGGCUGAAACUCGCCUGCAUGAACGUGGAGCUGCUAGUAACCGCAGGUCAGCACACUGCGGUGAAUACGUUCCCGGGCCUUGUACACACCGCCCGUCACGUCAUGGAAGUCGGUAACACUUGAAGUCGCCCGGCUAACCCUUAUGGGGAAGUAGGCGCCGAGGGUGGGAUCGGUGACUGGGACG
rnacentral:rRNA from 1 species